UAGGGAAUCUUCGGCAAUGGGGGCAACCCUGACCGAGCAACGCCGCGUGAGUGAAGAAGGUUUUCGGAUCGUAAAGCUCUGUUGUAAGAGAAGAACGUGUGUGAGAGUGGAAAGUUCACACAGUGACGGUAACUUACCAGAAAGGGACGGCUAACUACGUGCCAGCAGCCGCGGUAAUACGUAGGUCCCGAGCGUUGUCCGGAUUUAUUGGGCGUAAAGCGAGCGCAGGCGGUUUAAUAAGUCUGAAGUUAAAGGCAGUGGCUUAACCAUUAUUCGCUUUGGAAACUGUUAAACUUGAGUGCAGAAGGGGAGAGUGGAAUUCCAUGUGUAGCGGUGAAAUGCUUAGAUAUAUGGAGGAACACCGGUGGCGAAAGCGGCUCUCUGGUCUGUAACUGUCGCUGAGGCUCGAAAGCGUGGGGAGCAAACAGG
rnacentral:rRNA from 1 species